rnacentral:snRNA from 1 species
GUGCUCACUUUGGCAGCACAUAUACUCUAAUUGAAAUGGUACAUGGCCCCUGUGCAAGGAUGACAUGCAAAUACAUGAAGUGUUCCAUAUUUUU